rnacentral:rRNA from 1 species
GGAGCUUGCUCCUGGGUGACGAGCGGCGGACGGGUGAGUAAUGUCUGGGGAUCUGCCUGAUGGAGGGGGAUAACUACUGGAAACGGUAGCUAAUACCGCAUAACGUCGCAAGACCAAAGAGGGGGACCUUCGGGCCUCUUGCCAUCAGAUGAACCCAGAUGGGAUUAGCUAGUAGGUGGGGUAAUGGCUCACCUAGGCGACGAUCCCUAGCUGGUCUGAGAGGAUGACCAGCCACACUGGAACUGAGACACGGUCCAGACUCCUACGGGAGGCAGCAGUGGGGAAUAUUGCACAAUGGGCGCAAGCCUGAUGCAGCCAUGCCGCGUGUAUGAAGAAGGCCUUCGGGUUGUAAAGUACUUUCAGCGAGGAGGAAGGCRUUAAGGUUAAUAACCUUGGUGAUUGACGUUACUCGCAGAAGAAGCACCGGCUAACUCCGUGCCAGCAGCCGCGGUAAUACGGAGGGUGCAAGCGUUAAUCGGAAUUACUGGGCGUAAAGCGCACGCAGGCGGUUUGUUAAGUCGGAUGUGAAAUCCCCGGGCUCAACCUGGGAACUGCAUUCGAAACUGGCAAGCUUGAGUCUUGUAGAGGGGGGUAGAAUUCCAGGUGUAGCGGUGAAAUGCGUAGAGAUCUGGAGGAAUACCGGUGGCGAAGGCGGCCCCCUGGACAAAGACUGACGCUCAGGUGCGAAAGCGUGGGGAGCAAACAGGAUUAGAUACCCUGGUAGUCCACGCCGUAAACGAUGUCGACUUGGAGGUUGUGCCCUUGAGGCGUGGCUUCCGGAGCUAACGCGUUAAGUCGACCGCCUGGGGAGUACGGCCGCAAGGUUAAAACUCAAAUGAAUUGACGGGGGCCCGCACAAGCGGUGGAGCAUGUGGUUUAAUUCGAUGCAACGCGAAGAACCUUACCUACUCUUGACAUCCAGAGAACUUUCCAGAGAUGGAUUGGUGCCUUCGGGAACUCUGAGACAGGUGCUGCAUGGCUGUCGUCAGCUCGUGUUGUGAAAUGUUGGGUUAAGUCCCGCAACGAGCGCAACCCUUAUCCUUUGUUGCCAGCGGUUCGGCCGGGAACUCAAAGGAGACUGCCAGUGAUAAACUGGAGGAAGG